rnacentral:rRNA from 1 species
AAUUUUGAGAGUUUGAUUAUGGCUCAGGAUUAACGCUGGCGGUAUGCAUAAUACAUGCAAGUCGAGCGGGCACAGCAAUGUGUCAGCGGCAAACGGGUGAGUAACAAGUAUUUAAUCUGCCCUUUAGAGGAGAACAACUGAUCGAAAGAUUAGCUAAUGCUCCAUAGGAAAUGUUUAGUUUACUAGAUAUUUUUAAAGGCCCUUUACGGGGUCGCUUUAGGAUGAGAGUGCUUCCUAUCAGAUUGUUGGCGGGGUAAUAGCCCACCAAGUCUAUGACGGGUAACUAUGCUGAGAGGUAGAAUAGUCACAAUGGAACUGAGAUACGGUCCAUACUCCUACGGGAGGCAGCAGUAGGGAAUUUUUCACAAUGGGCGAAAGCCUGAUGGAGCAAUACCGCGUGGUGGAUGAAGGUCUUCGGAUUGUAAACACCUUUUAUUGGGGAAGAACGAUAUCUAUAGGAAAUGAUAGAUAAGUGACUGUACCCUUUGAAUAAGAGACGGCAAACUUCGUGCCAGCAGCCGCGGUAAUACGAAGGUCUCAAGCGUUAUCCGGAUUUACUGGGCAUAAAGGGAUGCGUAGGUGGAAUUAAAAGUCAGGUGUUAAAUGGUGCGGCUCAACCGUAGCAUGCAUUUGAAACUAUAAAUCUAGAGUUUGGCAGGUGUUUUUAGAAUUUGUUGUGGAGCGGUGGAAUGUGUAGAUAUAACAAAGAAUACCAGUGGCGAAAGCGAAAAGCAAGGCCAACACUGACAUUUAGGCUCGAAAGCAUGGGGAGCAAAUAGGAUUAGAUACCCUAGUAGUCCAUGCCGUAAACGAUGAUCGUUAGAUGUUCUGCAUGAAUGUGUGGGGUAUCGUAGCUAACGCGUUAAACGAUCCGCCUCAGUAGUAUAUUCGCAAGAAUGAAACUUAAAUUAAAUUGACGGGGACCCGCACAAAUGGUGGAUUAUGUUGCUUAAUAAGUCAACACACUACGAACCUUACCAGGACUUGACAUGCUCAGCAAAACCAUAGAAAUAUGGCAGAGGCUAACUGAGUCACAGGUGGUGCAUGGUUGUCGUCAGCUCGUGUCGUGAGAUGUUGGGUUAAGUCCCGCAACGAGCGCAACCCUUGCCUUUAGUUAUUUUAUCUAGAGGGACUGCUUUCGCAAGGAAGAGGAAGGUGGGGACGACGACAAAUCUUCACGCCCCUUAUGUUCUGGGCUGCAAACGUAAUACAAUGGCUAUAACAAAGUGAAGCCAAACCGCAAGGUGGAGCAAAUCGCAAAAAGAUAGUCUCAGUUCGGAUUGAGGGCUGCAAUUCGCCCUCAUGAAGUUGGAAUCAUUAGUAAUCGCGUAUCAGAUAUGGCGCGGUGAAUACGUUCUCGGGUCUUGUACACACCGCCCGUCGCACUAUGGGAGUUGUUAAUACUUGAUAAUGUUUAUUUAACCGUAAGGAGGUAAGCAAUUAGAGUAGGAAUGGUAACUAGAGUUAAGUCGUAACAAGGUACUCGUACGAGAACGUGCGAGUGGAUCACCUCCUUU